rnacentral:lncRNA from 1 species
CUAGGACCCCAGACCAUGGGGUGGUGCUGCCUACAGUGAGGGUGGGUCUUCCUACAUCCGUUUACCCAGCCUCUCAGUGCCACAGAGCUAGCAACUUCCCAUGCCAUAUUCUGUUCCUUCCUCCCCUUCCCAACAGGUUCUGUUAUGGUGGCCACUGACUCAGCCAUGCUGAGCUUCCUCCUGCGGGAUAAGUAUGAGGAGACAGGGAAUGGCAGUCUGCACAGCAUGACCUGCACCAUCACUCAGAAUUACAGCCAGGCCUUGCCGGCAGAGCUCCAGCUGAGAGGGCGGCAGCAGACCUACACUGGAGCCCUUGGGGGCCAGGCCAGCAUCCAUGGUGACUUGAUCAGCCUGGCCCUGGAUGGGACCUGCACCUGGGAUCUUGGGCAUCAUCAGUUUUCAGACAACCUGACUCACAACUUGGGCCCAUUGGGUGAUGCAGGACCAGCCUCCAAUUCUGGGUUGCAAGUGCCCAGUGCCCAGGAAUCCUCCAACCGCUCAGCACAGAUGGAAUUGUGGAGUGCAAACUGUCACCUCAAUGCCAGUCUUGACCCCUCAAGCCCCACCAUUCCCAGCCACAGACACAGGGCUGUCCCCUUCUCCAUAUAUGGCCAUGGGCACAUUCAGCUGUCUCCACAGGUCUCCUGCAAUGGAGACACCUUGCCUGCUAAGCUGUUGGAUCUGUGCCAGGGGAACAUUGAAGAGUGGCCUCUCCAGGUACUAGGGCUCUGACUGGGUAGGGUAGUGAGUCAUGGAGGCUUACUAGAGGCUAACACUGUGUAACUCUGGGGACUUCUGGCAGUAUAGGCUAGGGCUGAAGCCCUAGCUGAACUGACUUUUGUGGUCCUUGUCCCCAGCCACCCCCCUUACCCUGUGGCAUGCACUGGUCUCCAGCUCCACAGGGCCUUGGUUCCUCUUGGUGGUCCAUGAACUAUCCCUUUGCAGUUGGACAUCAGUCCAGAACCUAAGAGUUCUUUCUCACCAACGUCUGUCAUGGCAGCAAGAGUAGUGGGUGCUGUAAGCAUCUUAG